rnacentral:rRNA from 1 species
AACGAACGCUGGCGGCAUGCCUAACACAUGCAAGUCGAACGAGACCUUCGGGUCUAGUGGCGCACGGGUGCGUAACGCGUGGGAACCUGCCCUUAGGUUCGGAAUAACUCCCCGAAAGGGGUGCUAAUACCGGAUAAUGUCUUCGGACCAAAGAUUUAUCGCCUUUGGAUGGGCCCGCGUUGGAUUAGCUAGUUGGUAGGGUAAAAGCCUACCAAGGCGACGAUCCAUAGCUGGUCUGAGAGGAUGAUCAGCCACACUGGGACUGAGACACGGCCCAGACUCCUACGGGAGGCAGCAGUGGGGAAUAUUGGACAAUGGGCGAAAGCCUGAUCCAGCACUGCCGCGUGAGUGAUGAAGGCCUUAGGGUUGUAAAGCUCUUUUAACCGGGAUGAUAAUGACAGUACCGGGAGAAUAAGCUCCGGCUAACUCCGUG